rnacentral:rRNA from 1 species
GAUGAACGCUGGCGGCGUGCCUAAUACAUGCAAGUCGAGCGAACGGACGAGAAGCUUGCUUCUCUGAUGUUAGCGGCGGACGGGUGAGUAACACGUGGAUAACCUACUUAUAAGACUGGGAUAACUUCGGGAAACCGGAGCUAAUACCGGAUAAUAUUUUGAACCGCAUGGUUCAAAAGUGAAAGACGGUCUUGCUGUCACUUAUAGAUGGAUCCGCGCUGCAUUAGCUAGUUGGUAAGGUAACGGCUUACCAAGGCAACGAUGCAUAGCCGACCUGAGAGGGUGAUCGGCCACACUGGAACUGAGACACGGUCCAGACUCCUACGGGAGGCAGCAGUAGGGAAUCUUCCGCAAUGGGCGAAAGCCUGACGGAGCAACGCCGCGUGAGUGAUGAAGGUCUUCGGAUCGUAAAACUCUGCUAUUAGGGAAGAACAUAUGUGUAAGUAACUGUGCACAUCUUGACGGUACCUAAUCAGAAAGCCACGGCUAACUACGUG